rnacentral:misc_RNA from 1 species
AAUCCCCGUGUUGGCGCGCGGUCGAGUGCCGCGUUGCUUCGCUCGGAUUUCUGCCGGCUCUCACGGAUGCGGUGCCUAUUGCUAGCUUUGCGGGGCUCUGCCCCGCAGACUUCGGGAGGUCCCUUGCGCGCGUCACUGCUCUCAUACGCCGUCUGUCGCGCUGCCGGUGGCGGCGCGCAGAUCGUGUUCCGCCGCGUUGUAGUUAACGACGCGCCGGGACAAAGUGUCCGGAGCGUGCUCGCGUGCCUGCGGACUGCCUCUCGUUCGUAUGAGCAGCGAUUUCCGGCGCGCGUCGUGCGAAG